GGCUUAGAGUUUGAUCAUGGCUCAGGAUGAACGCUAGCUACAGGCCUAACACAUGCAAGUCGAGGGGCAGCAUGGGCUUAGCUUGCUAAGCCUGAUGGCGACCGGCGCACGGGUGAGUAACGCGUAUCCGACCUUCCGGCGGCCCGGGUCCAGCCUUUCGAAAGAAAGAUUAAUCCCCGAUGGUGUCAGGCAGUUCCAUGACAGCCUGACUAAAGAGUUAUCGGCCGCCGAUGGGGAUGCGUUCCAUUAGCUUGUUGGCGGGGUAACGGCCCACCAAGGCGACGAUGGAUAGGGGUUCUGAGAGGAAGGUCCCCCACAUUGGGACUGAGACACGGCCCAAACUCCUACGGGAGGCAGCAGUGAGGAAUAUUGGUCAAUGGGCGCGAGCCUGAACCAGCCAAGUAGCGUGGAGGAUGACUGCCCUACGGGUUGUAAACUCCUUUUGCAGGGGGAUAAAGUGUGCCACGUGUGGCAUAUUGCAGGUACCCUGCGAAUAAGCAUCGGCUAACUCCGUGCCAGCAGCCGCGGUAAUACGGAGGAUGCGAGCGUUAUCCGGAUUUAUUGGGUUUAAAGGGAGCGCAGACGGCCCCUUAAGUCAGCUGUGAAAGUUUGCGGCUCAACCGUAAAAUUGCAGUUGAAACUGUGGGGCUUGAGUACGGUCGCGGCAUGCGGAAUUCGUGGUGUAGCGGUGAAAUGCAUAGAUAUCACGAAGAACCCCGAUUGCGAAAGCAGCAUGCCAGCCCGCCACUGACGUUGAGGCUCGAAAGUGCGGGUAUCAAACAGGAUUAGAUACCCUGGUAGUCCGCACGGUAAACGAUGGACACCCCGCUGUCGGCGAUAUACAGUCGCGGCCAAGCGAAAGCGUUAAGUGU
rnacentral:rRNA from 1 species